CAGACAGGCAGGGGGAGCAAGAUGGAAUCACAGACCCAGGUCCUCAUGUCCCUGCUGCUCUGGGUAUCAGGUACCUGUGGGGACAUUUUGAUAAACCAGUCUCCAGCCUCUCUGACUGUGUCAGCAGGAGAGAAGGUCACUAUGAGCUGCAAGUCCAGUCAGAGUCUUCUAUACAGUGAAAACAACCAGGACUAUUUGGCCUGGUACCAGCAGAAACCAGGGCAGUUUCCUAAACUGCUUAUCUAUGGGGCAUCCAACCGGCACACUGGGGUCCCUGAUCGCUUCACAGGCAGCGGAUCUGGGACAGACUUCACUCUGACCAUCAGCAGUGUGCAGGCUGAAGACCUGGCUGAUUAUUACUGUGAGCAGACCUACAGCUAUCCUCCCACAGUGCCUCAGCCUCCUACAAAAAACUCCUUGAGAGUUUCAACAGCUGUAUAG